rnacentral:rRNA from 1 species
GAGUUUGAUCCUGGCUCAGGACGAACGCUGGCGGCGUGCCUAAUACAUGCAAGUCGAACGAACUCUGGUAUUGAUUGGUGCUUGCAUCAUGAUUUACAUUUGAGUGAGUGGCGAACUGGUGAGUAACACGUGGGAAACCUGCCCAGAAGCGGGGGAUAACACCUGGAAACAGAUGCUAAUACCGCAUAACAACUUGGACCGCAUGGUCCGAGUUUGAAAGAUGGCUUCGGCUAUCACUUUUGGAUGGUCCCGCGGCGUAUUAGCUAGAUGGUGAGGUAACGGCUCACCAUGGCAAUGAUACGUAGCCGACCUGAGAGGGUAAUCGGCCACAUUGGGACUGAGACACGGCCCAAACUCCUACGGGAGGCAGCAGUAGGGAAUCUUCCACAAUGGACGAAAGUCUGAUGGAGCAACGCCGCGUGAGUGAAGAAGGGUUUCGGCUCGUAAAACUCUGUUGUUAAAGAAGAACAUAUCUGAGAGUAACUGUUCAGGUAUUGACGGUAUUUAACCAGAAAGCCACGGCUAACUACGUGCCAGCAGCCGCGGUAAUACGUAGGUGGCAAGCGUUGUCCGGAUUUAUUGGGCGUAAAGCGAGCGCAGGCGGUUUUUUAAGUCUGAUGUGAAAGCCUUCGGCUCAACCGAAGAAGUGCAUCGGAAACUGGGAAACUUGAGUGCAGAAGAGGACAGUGGAACUCCAUGUGUAGCGGUGAAAUGCGUAGAUAUAUGGAAGAACACCAGUGGCGAAGGCGGCUGUCUGGUCUGUAACUGACGCUGAGGCUCGAAAGUAUGGGUAGCAAACAGGAUUAGAUACCCUGGUAGUCCAUACCGUAAACGAUGAAUGCUAAGUGUUGGAGGGUUUCCGCCCUUCAGUGCUGCAGCUAACGCAUUAAGCAUUCCGCCUGGGGAGUACGGCCGCAAGGCUGAAACUCAAAGGAAUUGACGGGGGCCCGCACAAGCGGUGGAGCAUGUGGCUUAAUUCGAAGCUACGCGAAGAACCUUACCAGGUCUUGACAUACUAUGCAAAUCUAAGAGAUUAGACGUUCCCUUCGGGGACAUGGAUACAGGUGGUGCAUGGUUGUCGUCAGCUCGUGUCGUGAGAUGUUGGGUUAAGUCCCGCAACGAGCGCAACCCUUAUUAUCAGUUGCCAGCAUUAAGUUGGGCACUCUGGUGAGACUGCCGGUGACAAACCGGAGGAAGGUGGGGAUGACGUCAAAUCAUCAUGCCCCUUAUGACCUGGGCUACACACGUGCUACAAUGGAUGGUACAACGAGUUGCGAACUCGCGAGAGUAAGCUAAUCUCUUAAAGCCAUUCUCAGUUCGGAUUGUAGGCUGCAACUCGCCUACAUGAAGUCGGAAUCGCUAGUAAUCGCGGAUCAGCAUGCCGCGGUGAAUACGUUCCCGGGCCUUGUACACACCGCCCGUCACACCAUGAGAGUUUGUAACACCCAAAGUCGGUGGGGUAACCUUUUAGGAACCAGCCGCCUAAGGUGGGACAGAUGAUUAGGGUGAAGUCGUAA